UACGUAAAAGACUAGUGUUAUUCAUCUUCAAUAGGUUUAAAGGGUACCUAGACUGUAAUACUAGCCCAAAAUAAGGGUACAAUAUUACUAGAGUUUUAUAUAAGAAGGGGAGUAUUUAUAGAGUAGAGAUGAAAUUUUUUGAUACUAUGGAGGACUGAUAGUGGCGAAAAGCAAUCUUUUAUGUAAUAACUGACGUUGAGGACGAAGGCCAGGGUAACGAACAGG
rnacentral:rRNA from 1 species